UUGAAAUACGUCAGAAAUGAGUUGAAGCAUUCGAGUCCAGUGAUUGUGCUGUACAUUUCCCUGGGCUUGUGCGUUCGUUGAAGACUGUCAUUAGCCAUCAGCUUUGGGAAGCCGUGUGCAAGGUUGCUUGACCUUCAACGGGAGUCCAUACACACACACGGUGUGAAUGCAAAAAAAUGCAACCAAGCGGAACUGUUGAAUCGUUGGACCACGUCAGCUCACAGGAGGACGUUAAUGGUAUAUGUGCAUCAUCAUUAUUAAGCGCAUCUUCUUGCGAUCGUUUGACUCUGAUUAAAAAGAUGGCCCUCUAUACAGCACCCGCUGACAACUAAUGAGCCAAACGGAAGAAGAAAGAGGGUCAGUGUCGGUGAAGGACAGAAUGAAGAAACUGGACCAGUUUGAUCAGCACGCCAUUCAUCGAGG